rnacentral:rRNA from 1 species
GUGGGGAAUAUUGGACAAUGGGCGAAAGCCUGAUCCAGCCAUGCCGCGUGUGUGAAGAAGGUCUUCGGAUUGUAAAGCACUUUAAGUUGGGAGGAAGGGCAGUAAGUUAAUACCUUGCUGUUUUGACGUUACCGACAGAAUAAGCACCGGCUAACUUCGUGCCAGCAGCCGCGGUAAUACGAAGGGUGCAAGCGUUAAUCGGAAUUACUGGGCGUAAAGCGCGCGUAGGUGGUUUUGUAAGUUGGAGGUGAAAUCCUCGGGCUCAACCUGGGAACUGCCUCCAAAACUGCAUGACUAGAGUACGGUAGAGGGUAGUGGAAUUUCCUGUGUAGCGGUGAAAUGCGUAGAUAUAGGAAGGAACACCAGUGGCGAAGGCGACUACCUGGACUGAUACUGACACUGAGGUGCGAAAGCGUGGGGAGCAAACAGGAUUAGAUACCCUUGUAGUCC